GCGCCUCUAGCUCAACUGGUCAGAGCAAGUGACUCUUAAUCACUAGGUUCAGGGUUCGAGUCCCUGGGGGCGUACCA
rnacentral:tRNA from 1 species